ACCUACAGAACAAUGUAGCCCACAGCUGAGGACGCCCCCGACUCUUUUUCUUUUACACAAGCGCCGACCCGAUGCCUGCAAAAAGAAAAAGCUCCUCAAAUCCUCCCAAUCGGCAGGCUAUGAUGUUCAUCAGCAUCCAUGAGGGCUACCAGAGUCUGAGACCUGAUCCUCAAGACAUGGUGCAAAGCGUCCGUGAGUCAGAAUUUGCAUCCUGAGUUAUGAAGUGGGAAAGACAAACAGCUGCUUUUGAAAUCGGAGCUGAACAGUAGGUAUUGUAAAAUCAAAAACAGAGACAAGUCAAAUGGGAAAUAACGCAAAAAGAGACUCAAGAAUGGAAAAGCUUUUGAAGCCAGACAGACUGAUGGAGAACAUUCUACAAAUCUGUAUCAGUGAAUGAUUAAUUAAUUUCUGUUGAAUGAUCUGUUCUAGCCUUGCAAGAUAUCAGUUCCCAUUUCUUUCACACUUUUACAGAAGAUCUCAAGAGACCGCUAGUUCAAAAGACGGUUCAAUUUAGAGUUCCCAUUGGAAAUGGUUUCAGAGAGUCUUUGCCAUAUGUUGGGCUUUGAUGU